rnacentral:rRNA from 1 species
AGAGUUUGAUCCUGGCUCAGAAUCAACGCUGGCGGCGUGCCUAACACAUGCAAGUCGAACGCGAAAGCCCGCAAGGGUAAGUAGAGUGGCGCACGGGUGAGUAACACGUGGACAACCUGCCUUCGAGUGGGGAAUAACCUUCCGAAAGGAGGGCUAAUACCGCAUAACACCUCGGGACACAGGUUCUGGGGUUAAAAAGAGCAAUUUGCUCGAAGAGGGGUCCGCGCCUGAUUAGCUAGUUGGUGAGGUAACGGCUCACCAAGGCUUCGAUCAGUAGCCGUCCUGAGAGGGAGCACGGCCACACUGGAACUGAGACACGGUCCAGACUCCUACGGGAGGCAGCAGUGGGGAAUUUUUGGCAAUGGGCGAAAGCCUGACCAAGCAACGCCGCGUGGGUGAUGAAGUAUCUUGGUACGUAAAACCCUUUCGGCAGGGACGAACCUAAUGACGGUACCUGCGAAGA